rnacentral:rRNA from 14 species
GGCGGAGCCGGAGCGAAAGCGAGUCCGAAAGGGCGAUGAGUUCGUGCGGAUCGACCCGAAACUGGGUGAUCUACCCAUGGCCAGGCUGAAGCGGGCGGAACACGCCUGUGGAGGGCCGAACCGGGAUCUGUUGCAAAAGAUCCGGAUGAGCUGUGGGUAGCGGUGAAAUGCCAAGCGAACCCAGAGAUAGCUGGUUCUCCCCGAAAUG